GAUGAACGCUAGCGGCAGGCUUAAUACAUGCAAGUCGAGGGGCAGCAGUUUUGUAGCAAUACAGAAGCUGGCGACCGGCAAACGGGUGCGGAACACGUACGCAACCUUCCUUUAACUGGAAGAUAGCCCACAGAAAGGUGGAUUAAUACUCCAUAAUAUAUUGAAGAGGCAUCUUUUUGAUAUUAAAGCUCCGGCGGUCACAGAUGGGCGUGCGUCUGAUUAGGUAGUUGGCGGGGUAACGGCCAACCAAGCCUUCGAUCAGUAGCUGAUGUGAGAGCAUGAUCAGCCACACGGGCACUGAGACACGGGCCCUACUCCUACGGGAGGCAGCAGUAAGGAAUAUUGGUCAAUGGACGCAAGUCUGAACCAGCCAUGCCGCGUGGAGGAUGAAGGCCCUCUGGGUUGUAAACUUCUUUUCUUUGGGACGAAACCCCUGUUUCUACGGGGACUGACGGUACCAGAGGAAUAAGCACCGGCUAACUCCGUGCCAGCAGCCGCCGUAAGAC
rnacentral:rRNA from 1 species